CUCUCUUUAGAGUGGCGUGCCCCAAGCUAGUUCUCUCUCUCUCUCUCUUUCUCUCUCUCUCUUGUUCUCUAAAGUAAGAUUUAGUUAGAUGAAGUGAGGCAAAGUGAGUUGGUCUUAGAUGAUCUUAGUGAGAGAAAGUUGAAUUGAGCUCCAUUAAAGCUUAAUCAAAGCUCUAUCAAUUUAGAUUUAUCAGAAAGCAUCGUGGUGUUCAGUUUGAGUGAGAUCUUCUUCAACCUUGAAGUAAUCCAUGAUUGCAAAACAUCAUUUAUAGCAAGGUAUCUCUAUCUCCUAGUUUCUUGAAGAGGUUUUGAUAUCUAAGAUUGAUCUAUGUCAUUUCUUGAAGAGGUUUUGAUAUCUAAGAUUGAUCUAUGUCUUUAAGGGUGUGAUCUAUAGUUGAUUGUGUUGAUCUUUUGAGGGAAUUUUCAUCGAGUUUUAUAGGAUUUAAUUGACCAGACUUUCUGAGAAUUUUGGGAUCAGAAUUAGUCAAUUAAAUCACAUAAUUGGUAGAAUAUUUUGGAGAAUUUCUAAGGGAUACUCCAAGCUAUGCUCGUUUGAUUACGAGCUAGAUCUUGAAGUUUUGUGCCACCAUAUUCUCCCCCAUUUUUCCUACUUGCUUGAUACCAUUUUUGAAAGGUUAUUUCACCAUUAAAAGUGAAAAAUCCAAGAUGCAAAUUCUUCAUGUUGUGUUGAUAGUGUAAAAUUGGCCAUAACUGUGAUAUUUACCUUCACAUGUCACUCUAGUAUAUAGCUAGGACCUUGGCCAUAAAUUGGGCACCAAGAGCUUUUUAAGGCUUCCCAUGAUCAUGUUACUUAGUACUUGAGCAUUUAUGUGUUUGUAAUGUGGAGAUCAAAUUUUGAUGUGUUUGUAUUAAAAAUUGAUCUAUAAUUUUGCAUUGUAAUUUUGUAUAGUGCUAAAAUUUCAAGAGCAUUGGUAAUGAGUGUAUAUACUUGAUCUCCUUGCAUGAUUUAUUUUUACAAAGAACCCAAAGUAAGUUGUAUCCUCAUUGUAAAGAGUGCAUGGAAGGUUUUUUAGUGGUUGUAACUUGGUUUUAUGUGGCUGUAAUUGAGGCAAAAAGUGCCAUAUGUCUUGUAAGCAUGUAAAAUUGAAGUUGUAUUGCCAAAAUUAAGUGUAAAUUUCAAGAGUUAUACCUUAAUCUUGGUUUCCUAUACUAUCAAGUGGUAUCAUGACCAAGCUCUAAAAGAGGUUCCUUUGUCCAUUUUUGUUGAGUUUUGGAGUGUAUUAAAGUUGUUCUUCAAGUACAUGGUCAUGGCAGCAAGCUAUUGUGACCGAGCUCCUUAAGAAUGAGAAAUUUAAUUGCUCCAAUUACCUAGAGUGGAGAAGGAAGGUUGAUUAUGUGCUUCAUGAGAAAGGGCUGAUACCUCGCAUUACUCAAGAUCCUCGUCAUGAACCUAGAUCCAAUGCCACAAAAGUUACAAGAGGUUCCUACAUGAUUUGGAUAACUCGGAAUCAAAGUGCUAAAAAUAUUCUACUAGCUACUAUGUGAUACACAUAUGCUCGAGAAUAUUGUUGGGGUUGUGGCCUUUUAGGGCCUUGACACUGAAAUUUUCUACAGUUCUUAGUCCCAAAAAAUGUGACUACUGGAUUUGUGCGAACUGGAAUUCGGAGCUGCACCAAAACCUUGAAGCAUGAGGCUUGAUUUAAGGGGCAUUAUAACAAAAAGGGUUUGACGGUUCCCUUGAUCAGGGUCGGUGAGUUCGCCUCAUAAUUGGUUUGAGCCAGGGCGUAAUAUUUCACCUCAUAAUCGGUUUGAGACUUUUGGAGAUUAUCUUUUAGGAAUUUUUAUAUUUUUUUGGAAUUUUUUAAGGUAAAAUUCUCUUAAAAUAAAUUCUUUUGAUCAAUUUCGCCUAAAGACAGGUCCCAUAAGGCCCAAAUGGCCAAUGGACCUCACAAGGAAUGUCCACAUGGCUGAUGAUGUCAGCCUCACAUAAGCCUAGUGGGUGAUGUCAGCCACAAAAGUGGGCGUCCCCCGUUUCUCUCUUGAGGGUGCUUUUGCAAUGUUCGGAUUGUUGCCUGGGUAGAUAGUUUGAUCCUUCAUUUUUUUCCUAAAAUCAUAAGUUUUAAACCAAUGGGAGCUUAGAUCCAAAAGAACUUUAUUAGGCGUUAAUCUCUCAUUACUCACAUUGAGUUUAUGAUAUGAAGUGUGUUAUGACGCACCACAUUUGUAGAGGGCUUGAGGUGUUGAGUGAGAAAAUACCUUCAUUUCAAAUUCAACAUAUUUUUUUUGGUAAGUAAAAAGAUAAGUCAGUGGGGAUUUGGGCCCUACCUUUUGGUGAGAAUGGAACAUAGUUUUUUUGGUAAGUAAAAAGAUGAGUCAGUGGGGAUUUGGGCCCUACCUUUUGGUGAGAAUGGAGUAAGAGAUUUCAUCAUAGAACCGUUGGUACUAUCACGUAGGCUCCAACCCAUUAUCUAAAAAAGGUAAAGUCUAAGGGAAUUUUUGGGCCCUACCCUUUGAUGAAAAUGGAGCCAACGACUUCACCACAAAAACUCGUUUUAGAGUGAGCAUAAUUUUUGUAGAGAAUUGACGGGUAUUGCCCUCCUUAUGAUUUUAUCUUCUUAUAGUAUUCCGAAAGUAAGGGAAAAUGAGAUUUUAUAAAAUUAAUUAGUUUGAAAAAUUUGAAGUUGCCUCACUCAUGUGAGGAUAUGGUGGAGGAUUGCAACCACACAUCUAUAAUCGAUAGAUGCGAGGUUCGAUGACUAAGAUCUUGCCUCUCUCCAAGCUUUUAAUGCUCAAAAUUUGUGAUCUCAAUUCAAUCUAACAAAAGGCCAACUAAAGAACCCUAGCUACUCUCUAUAAAUACCCAUUAUCUCUUAAACUCUAAUAAACCUUUAAAAAGAGAGAAUCCCAACGUGUGGUUUUGAGAGAAACAUGCAGAGAUAGUUAGAGGAAGAGAGCCCUUUCCUUGUUUCAUUAUCUGUACACCCAUAGAGUAUGUAUUGGUGGCCAAUCUUGGAGCACAGAAGGAGUACCUUUGGUGAAUUUUAGCUCGUUGUUUCUUACUGUUCUUGUACAUUUAUAGUGAGGUAAAUUAUCCUUUUUCUUGGUUCAAUUGCCAUUCCUUCCAUGCAUGUCUAUUUCUACACUACCUCGAAUGACUAUGCAUUGAAUUGAAUCCAUUUCCCUAACAUUUGGGUAAGUAUUUCUUUGCAAAAGUUACUGCACUUUGUGACCCAUAUAAACAGCCCAUCACCUUAAAAAGUUAUAUUUUACAAGGGGUCAUAAUGCUAACAUUUUUCCCCUUAGACUCCAUUAAUAUUUUCAUGCUCCAUAAAGUACUAUUGUACUCCACGUGCCAUUACCCUUGAUAUGCCUCAUAUAAUAGUUCCAUUUGAUGGGUUGUGGUGAUGAUAUGAGUUUAGCCUUGCUGAUAUAUACUUCCUAUUAAAUUGCAUUGAGAUUAGACCACUUGUGUCUUACUGUCGGGAAGGUUUGUGACUAAGAUCUUAAUCGGCCAAAUUUGUUUAUGAAAUUGGAUUCCCAUGAUUUAGAGACCGUACAAUUUUGGUUUUAUAUAUAUUUGAGAUUGGCUGAAGUUUGUGUAUUUAAUGGUUAUGUUAUUCAUGUCAAUGAACUGGUCGAGUUGAGAACUGUUUUGGAUGUAAUUUGUUUAUAUAACUUUGUGUUGUGGCCAAAUCUCUAUAUUGAGUUUAAAGUGGAACUAGUAACGGACCAAUCAGUUGUCUUGUAAUUUGUAAUUUGGUGUGUGUUUAAUUGUGUAUUUAUGAGUUAAAAAGACUUCUUUCUUACUGUAAUUUCAGUCUUGAGGCUAUAAUUUGGAUAUUUUAUUAAAAUUUUUAUAAGUUGUAGUACCUUGACACCCUAACAAAGAUGAAGAGUGUAUGUCAGUCAAAGAAAUCUCAGAAAAUAUGAAGAAAACACAAGAUACUUCCUCUUACCCUGGCAAGAUCUUGAUUAUGAGGAAGUUUCUUUAUUAUGGGAUGCCGGAGCAUUUUAAGAUUGAUGAUCAAGUGAGAACCCUUAAGCAUAUAGUUAAGGAUGUGGAGGCGGCCGGCAUGUGCCUACUCAAACCACUGUCUUCUCGACUGCUCUUUCUCCUUCAUGGGAGAAUUUCUUGGCGAAUUUGAUGGUUCGUGACACUCCUACAUCUACAUCCAUUGAGGACAUCACCUUCUUCCUUUAGGCCAAAGAGUAGCUACAAUCGGUGAGCUUGAAUGGACCAAAGACCGUAAACUCUAAUCCCUCCUGUUCUCUUCCAGCCCAUAAUGUGAAUGCAGGAGGUACAAUAAAAAUGCUAAAAGGAAGAAAGGGAAAAGGAAAGAUGAACAAGCCAAAGAGAAAAAGCCACCAUAUCGAUCAGGGGGUAAUAACCAAAUGGAAAAUGCCUUUAAUCAUAGGGGAAAACCACCAUAUCAGCCCAAUCACUUUUGUAAUGUGCAAUGCCAGAGGAGUAAGAGAUAAAUCCACCGCUUUCUAAUCGGUUUUUUUGUAGUCUUGAAAACGUGUUUUUAAUGUUUUAAUCAAAAUAAUGAAUUUUUCCUUGUAUUUUCUAAAUAAUACAGUUUAAAAUGUAUUACAACAAAAUGACGCCUUUUUGUAAAAGUCGUUAUUUUCAGUGCGACUUGCUAACUAUGUCUGUGACUUUUGAUGUGAUGAUCGGGAUCCAUACGUAGUGUCUUGAUUCUGGUCUUGUAAGAAUGUUAAGCCUGACACUCACACACAUGCAUGGGAGGAAACUAAAAGGAACAAUCUAGGCUAUGACGAUUAUAUGUGAUGAAUUAUUACUUUGGAAUUUAAGAUUGGAUCAUAACAGUAAAUCAAGAAUGGAAAGAUUAAUGAGCGAUGAUCUUUUUCAGAAGAUGAUGUGGAUUUUCAAAAUAAGUGUGAGGCUGUCUAUUUUCAAAUUAAGUGUGAGCGAUGUAGACAAGGAAAAAUGAUUAAAAAAUCCCAUAACAAUGUUUAAAGGACUACGAGCCUGUUCGAAUUAAAUCACACCGAUAUAUGCGGUCCUAUGAGUGUGGCCUUAAAAAGACAUGAUAUAUUUAUUAUAUUCAUUGAUGAUCACUCCUGGUAUUGCCAUGCGUAUCUCCUCCAAAAUAAAAACUUUAAUAACAUUCAUAGAAUAUAAGGCCGAGGUUAAAAACCAAGUAGGUAACAAAAUUAAGAACCUUGGUUCGGAUUGAGGUGGUGAGUAUACAUCCCAUGCUUUUUAUGACUGUAUAAAAAAUGACACUAUAUACCAAAUUAUCAUGCUUUAUUCUCCCGAACAAAAUGGGGUUGCUAAAAGAAGGUAUAGGACCCUAAGAGAAAUGGUGCGGGAUAGAACAUGAACUGUCAAACUUGGAUUGGAGUUUUGGGGAGAGGUGACUGUCACAUACAUCUUGUGUUCGCAAAAUCGAACCGGAAUGGUAAAUCGGACAUGGGCAUGGAAGUGGUUUAACCGGCCUAACAGGUAAACCGGCUGAUUCAACCGCCCUAAUCGGGCAAGUCUCGAGCAAUAAAAAAAGUGUAGAAAAAAAAAAAAAUCUACUAAAAUAUGAAGAGCAUAUAAAAGAAUGAUUAAAAUAAAACACAUUCAAACGAAGUUGAAAAUUAAUGAAAAAGUGGAUUUUAACCCAUUUUAUAUUUUCCAAUGGCUAUUUUUAAAAUUUUUUAAAAGUUUGAGAAAAUAUAAAAACGAGUAUUAAUGACCAAAACAAUUUUUAAGCUUUACCAUAAUGUAAAUAAUAUUUAAAAAUACAUUACAAAUCAAAUUCCUUAUUUUUGAGAAUUUAUAUAUAUUUUUUUGAUUUUUUUUUUUUAAAUACCAGUUGAUUACCCUAACCGCCCAAAAUCGGAAUCGACCACUAGCCGGUUCCAAUCUAAGCGGGCGGUUAGCGAUUAGAUCGGGCGAUUUUGCGAACAAUGCAUACAUCCUCAACUAGACUCCCACUAAGGCAGAAGCAUCAACUUCAUAUCAUUUUAUUAAGCACUUCAAAGUUUGAGCUUGUUCAACACUUGUCUAGAUCCCUUCAUAAAAUAGAGCUAAACUUGGGCAUAAGACCAUUAAAUGUGUUUUCAUUGGUUAUCCAAAUAUUAGACUUAUCCAAGAGAAAUGUACUCGAAAGUUGUGAUUGACAUUUGUUUGAUGAUGAAUUCCUUGAGGGAAGAGUGAGUAAUAAACGAGUGGUUUUUUAUGAGAAAGAAAGGACAAGCAAAUAAAGAGUUCAACCAUACAAUUGAACCGACCUAAAAGGAGUCAAAGAAUAAAAAGACUACCCGAUUUUUUCACUUACCCAAGUGAGGUGAGGAACCCGAUCAUGAGCCCAUUACAUACUAAGAAGCCAUAAAUUACACCAAAUUAACACAAUGGAGGGACACCAUGGAAGAUGAAAUGGAUUCCAUUAAGUAAAACAAUGUUUGGGAGUUAGUACCACCUAACCAGAGAGCUAUAUGUUGUAAGUGGG
rnacentral:lncRNA from 1 species